rnacentral:rRNA from 1 species
CCGUAAUAGACUAAGAGCUACUUAAAGGGGGUACAGCCCCUUUAACACAGGACACAACCUCCACCAGCGGAUAACCCCACCCCAUACCACACCCCGUAGGCCCUAAAGCAGCCACCCAUAAAGAGUGCGUCAAAGCUCAAACACAAAAAAAAUCCAAAAACAACACGACUCCCUACACCCCAACAGGCUAACCUAUCACUAUAGAUGAAUCAAUGCUAGAACGAGUAACCAGGAUAUCACAUCCCCUUAAGCGCCAGCCUACACACAAUUAACAGCACAGACCACAAUGCCUAACAUACACCCCCCCCAUUGAACACACCCCUGUUAACCCACCAGGGGCGCACAACUAGGACGAUCCAAAUCUGCAAAAGGAACUCGGCAAACCCAAGGCCCGACUGUUUACCAAAAACAUAGCCUUCAGCCAAACAAGUAUUGAAGGUGAUGCCUGCCCAGUGACACUCAGUUCAACGGCCGCGGUAUCCUAACCGUGCAAAGGUAGCGCAAUCAAUUGUCCCAUAAAUCGAGACUUGUAUGAAUGGCUAAACGAGGCCUUAACUGUCUCCUGCAGACAAUCAGUGAAACUGAUCUCCCCGUGCAAAAGCGAGGAUAUAUACACAAGACGAGAAGACCCUGUGGAACUUUAAAAUCAAUAGCCACCACAUAUCCUACCCCAAGCCUACUGGCUCAUAACCAAAAACACUGGCUAAUAUUUUUAGGUUGGGGCGACCUUGGAGAAAAACAAAUCCUCCAAAACCAAGGCCACAACCCUUAACCAAGAGCUACCCCUCAACGUACUAAUAGUGUCCAGACCCAAUAAAAUUGAUCAAUGAACCAAGCUACCCCAGGGAUAACAGCGCAAUCUCCCCCAAGAGCCCAUAUCGACAAGGGGGUUUACGACCUCGAUGUUGGAUCAGGACAUCCUAGUGGUGCAGCCGCUACUAAGGGUUCGUUUGUUCAACGAUUAAUAGUCCUACGUGAUCUGAGUUCAGACCGGAGCAAUCCAGGUCGGUUUCUAUCUGUGAUAAACCUUCCCUAGUACGAAAGGACCGGAAAGGUGGGGCCUAUACCCCAAGCACGCCCCCUCCCCAAGUGAUGACCCCAACUAAAUCACCAAAGGACUAAACCCUCCCCCCAAGAAAAUGGUCGCUAGUGUAGCAGAGCCCGGCAAAUGCAA